ACGUAUCUGCACAGAAUGAAAAAGAUAAGUUGUACUUUCUUUUAUUAAACAAUUUAUUCCCACAAUUAUUUAAAAAUUCAGCUCCAACUUCUCUCCUUGUUUAACUGAAACCUUUUUGUUUUGGUGCAGUGAUGCAAGAUUUGCCAUGUCAGGUGUAUCUUUACUGAGAUGUCAAUAUGGGUAAAAUAGAUAUUGCAAAAGACGUGUACAUAUCACAAUCACUCAGUGUGUUUACUUGCAGGUUAAAAGUCUAAAUUUUGGUUGGACUAAGACAAUAAUUUGGAUUUUCUUAAUGUCAUGUAAACACAUAACCACUUUUGCAUACUUUUAUCACAAAUGUUAUUAUCAUUUUAAUAUUAAACAAUGCUGCUGGAUGUUUUCCUGCCGCAAUAAUUCAUUAUCACAUUUCAGGCAAGGAAAAGCCACCAGUUUGUUUACAUUGCAAUUCCACACAGCCACCACUAGGUGUUAGUCAAAAGUCAUGUGUCCUUCCACUUUUCCUUAACUUGUGUCUGUGCAAAAGCCAGAUUUUCAAACAUGUUCAAAAGGUAACGUUCAAAGUCGAUGCAUCUCUACAGUCACUGCUCAGGGGAGGAGGCUAUCCCAGCAUGCACUGAGAGGAAAAUGCCGUGUUUCUUUUUCCUUACCCUGGAGAAUAACUUGUAUUUGGGCAUCGCCGUCAGCUCGAGUCUCCAUUUCAAGGAUGUCCAGCGCCAACAAGUCCACCGGCUCUGCUGACACCUGAGGAGAAUCACAACAAAAGUAGGAGGAGGGACCUCCAGGGGUCAGCAUGGCCAUUAUCCUCAGCCAGGAGGAGUUCUGCUGGGAUGGGACAUUCUUCUUUCUGCUCCUCCUCCUCCACACAACCAUCAAGAAACAAGGGACCUGUGGAGAAGAAGGGGGGAGGGGUUAAGUCAGUGAGUUUUCACCCUGCACACAUUCCGUGCAUCGGUUAGUAAAUAAAUGCACAUGCACACACAUCUGCUUGCACAUUGCACAAGUAACUACUCUGUCCUCGUGUCGUGCACACCAUGCAGAUGUUAUAAACGUGGACGUAAACAGGAAACAGAAGCUUGAAAAGCACGUACCGCUAAUGUCCAGCAGUGAACAGAUACUUGCGUCCACUUGCACUCCGACGCUGCGUUUACUCUCCGCGGGUGAAACGUUCAGUGUCUCCUCCGCUCCGUGUUCAAGCUUGAUCUCGGCGUGGGCCGCGUCCACGGCAGCAGUUCUGUAUCUGCUCUCGAACAGUCUGGUUAACUCCACGGUGGCCGCUUUGACCAACGCGCCCAGCACCGACUCCACCUGCGCGUGCAGGCUCGACACGUCCGCGGACAUUCUCA